ACUGCAGGCUUUGAUCCUGCCGACACGAUAUUGGUGCCAAAAAUGCAGCGCAUAUAACAAACCCUCUCGUGGGUCUGUAUCUGUUUCUCUCAAGUCUCUAUUCAAAUUCCUCAAAAACACGGUCUGGGCAGCGGAGCAUAUGCUCGCAUAAGCACGAUGCUCACCUACCCUCGGAUAAACGCCACACGAUGGCCGAGCUGCUGUUUUUAAGUUUAUUCCUGAACUUGUCUUCAGCUCAGCCCAGAAAAGUUUGCGCAGCUCUCAUCCAGCUGGAUGCUGCGGUAACUUCAAAGUGGCUCAAAUACCAAAGUUCGGUAUAUAUGGGUGUUGUUGCGGCAACAGCAUCGAUUUAUUGCUUAUUUUGGAGUGAGGGAUCCCCCGAAACACAAGAAAAAAUCUGGCUGCAAGAGGUUACUUAGUUUCAUUAAAAUGCGUGAGAUGCAUCUUAAAAUCAACAAAAAUUCAAAAAAGAUAAAGAAAGAAAGAAAAACAAGAAAGAGGAAACAAACGAAAAUGGCGUAGGCAAACUUCGAAACAAUUGAACACGAAACUAUGAAAUUGAAGUGCGAAAGCGAUCGAACGAUUACGAAAACGAAGCGAAAACGAUCGAAGGAAGCGAAAGAAAUUCGAACGAAGUGACGCCGAUUCAAGCGAUCGAGAAUCGCUUCAGAUAAAUUCUAUGUAUAAUUUGUGAGAUGAUCGCCAGUAUAAAUUAAGAGUUGAAAUGUGUUUGGUGUUUGAUUCGUAUCGAACGCAACGCCAUUUAGAUCCUGUAUGGCAAUAACAGUUUCGAAGUGCCCAUUUACGUGAACUAAAGAUAUUCACAGCAAGAUUGCAAGUGACAAACUCCCAAGAUUCAGAAGAGAAUGAUAUUGUGAUCAAACACGAUUGCUUGAUUUGCUACACUUUGUUUUACCGAGCCACAAGCGGCAUCUUGUUGAUUUUACUAAGCAUAUUAAGUUCACAUGUAUCAAGAAUGCAAUGAUUUGUCUGGCUACCUAUGGUCUGCACAGGAGUAUAUGACAAGGUUGAAACCUCAGGGACAGAGGUUUCAAGGGGAGGGUGUUGUUGCGGCAACAGCAUCGAUUUAUUGCUUAUUUUGGAGUGAGGGAUCCCCCGAAACACAAGAAAAAAUCUGGCUGCAAGAGGUUACUUAGUUUCAUUAAAAUGCGUGAGAUGCAUCUUAAAAUCAACAAAAAUUCAAAAAAGAUAAAGAAAGAAAGAAAAACAAGAAAGAGGAAACAAACGAAAAUGGCGUAGGCAAACUUCGAAACAAUUGAACACGAAACUAUGAAAUUGAAGUGCGAAAGCGAUCGAACGAUUACGAAAACGAAGCGAAAACGAUCGAAGGAAGCGAAAGAAAUUCGAACGAAGUGACGCCGAUUCAAGCGAUCGAGAAUCGCUUCAGAUGAAUUCUAUGUAUAAUUUGUGAGAUGAUCGCCAGUAUAAAUUAAGAGUUGAAAUGUG